rnacentral:rRNA from 1 species
CGCGGUACACAGCUCAGUAGCACGUGGCUAACCUGCCCUUGGGACGAGAACAACCCCGGGAAACUGGGGCUAAUUCUCGAUAGGCGAAGAACUCUGGAAUGAGUCUUUACUUAAAAGAGCCUGCGUUAUGCUCGUAGUUUCGCCCAAGGAUGGGGCCGCGACCGAUCAGGUUGUUGGUGAGGUAAUGGCUCACCAAGCCUUUUACCGGUGCGGGCCGUGGGAGCGGGAGCCCGGAGAUGGGCACUGAGACAAGGGCCCAGGCCCUACGGGGCGCAGCAGUCGCGAAAACUUUGCAAUAAGCGAAAGCUUGACAGGGCUAUCCCGAGUGCCAUCCGCUGAGGAAGGCUUUUACCCAGUCUAGAACGCUGGGGGAAUAAGGAGAGGGCAAGUCUGGUGUCAGCCGCCGCGGUAAUACCAGCUCUCCGAGUGGUGUGGAUGUUUAUUGGGCCUAAAGCAUCCGUAGCUGGCUAGGUUAGUCCCCUGUUAAAUCCACCGAAUUAAUCGUUGGAUUGCGGGGGAUACUGCUUGGCUAGGGGACGAGAGAGACAGACGGUAUUUCCGGGGUAGGGGUGAAAUCCUAUAAUCCCGGGAAGACCACCAGUGGCGAAGGCUGUCUGCUAGAACGCGCCCGACGGUGAGGGAUGAAAGCUGGGGGAGCGAACCGGAUUAGAUACCCGGGUAGUCCCAGCUGUAAACGAUGCAGGCUAGGUGUUUGGGCGGCCACGUGCCGUUCUAGUGCCGCAGGGAAGCUGUUAAGCCUGCCGCCUGGGGAGUACGAUCGCGAGAUUGAACUUAAAGGCCA